CUGCUCAGCCCACAGCAGCCCGCCUGCUCCUUCAUCUGCAGCUCCUGGGAACGGCUGAGCCGCCCUGGUGGGGCCCACGCAGGACCGGGGGCACCGAGACCCUCCAGGCCUGGGCUGAACUCUCCCCAUCCCCAUGGCACACCUGGGGCUCGUGCUGAGCUCGGACUGGGAGCAGUGACACCGUGAGAGGAGCUGGGAGCUCCGGUGCCCUAAGCAGAUAUCAUGGAAGACUGUACAGGGAGGCCUGGCCUUGGUGGUGCAGGGCCAAGCUUCUGAAACCCAGAACAUAAACACAACAGGGGAGACUUCCCACCGCCGAGGAGGGACAAUCUUCCAGCCGUGAGAGACGGGAUGGUUCAGAUUCCCGGCCGCCGCCCGCCCCGAGCAGGGGCAGCGCUCCCGGCCGCCGCCCGGGCGGAGCGGCUCCAGCGCCGCACGCAGGCUCUGCUCCAGGCUCACUGCUGCCCCGACUUCUUCUCCUUCUGGAAGCUAAAGCUUGUUCUCCUGCUCAGUUUUCUUUGUUUCUGAGCAAAAUAAUCUGCUCUGGCUGUGCUUGCUCGCGACUCUAGAAUAUAGUUAACCUGCAAGACACGAGGUGGUGUUAAUGUCACCCGAGGCCGGGGGACAGCCCGGGUGGGCAGGGACCCCCAGCCCAGCCCCUGAGCAGGGCUCUGGUCCAGCUGGUCCCAUCCGCUGGCAGGAUGAUGGCAGAGGGAGCCCAGAGUGCCAGGAGAGCCCUGGGUGUCCUCCUGUGUCCCUGCUCCCGUCCCGGGUCACCCAAACCUCUGGGGAAGGCAGGGAGCUGUGCCGACCCUCCAGUGCUGGGACAAUCAGCAAUGAGCAUCAAUAAAGGACCUUAUCAGCCUCAGAAAAAAGAAUUCUUCCAUUAUGAUGUUUGCAUACUCAGCUAAUCUCAGAGUUUCCCUGUGUUUUGGCACAUUUUACUUGAUGAAAGCAUUUUAAAAUUAUAUUUAACAAGCCUGCUACUCCCUAAAUUUAUUAUCUCCAAUGCUUUGUGAUAAUCUCAAAGAUAAUUUUAAUGGAAGGUUAAUGCAAGAAUCAAAAAGAUAAAAAUGCCCUUUGGUCUGUCAUUAGCUGGUUAAUAUGCUGUGGCUUAAAACUUGCACAAUUUUAUGCACUGUAGAGUGUUUCACUUUCAUUGCAUAUUACAGCUUAAGGCAUAAAAAUAUAGGGAAUUUUCAUGGUCAAUAAAGUCUCAGUCCUUCUCACUUGAUCAUCUAAAAAGCCUAAUUUGAAAAGUCUGAUUUUUCUGCGCUCCCUAAU